rnacentral:rRNA from 1 species
UACGGAGGGUGCGAGCGUUGUCCGGAAUCACUGGGCGUAAAGGGCGCGUAGGCGGCGCGGAUAGUCGGCGGUGAAAGCCCGGAGCUCAACUCCGGGUCGGCCGUCGAUACUUCCGGGCUUGAGCACUGUAGAGGCAGAUGGAAUUCCGGGUGUAGCGGUGGAAUGCGUAGAGAUCCGGAAGAACACCGGUGGCGAAGGCGGUCUGCUGGGCAGUUGCUGACGCUGAGGCACGAAAGCGUGGGGAGCAAACAGG